GGAACAAACACCUCUAAACCUAACCCUGCUCUAUGUUGCCUCUCGACCUGCGCGCCGCCACCCCCAACCUGCGUGCCGCCGGCACAACCCACCCGUCGGUACCCUCGCACCAUCGCCGAUCCCCGGUGUCCCUUCACUUAGCCCACAGUAGCAAAAGUGGCGUCUGCGAUGGAGGAGCAUCGUCCGCCAUCGAGGAGCAGCAGCACCGUCCAUCCCCCGCGACGGAAAGCAGCAGGGCUGUCCGUCCGAGGAUCCGCCGCCCCAACUUAUGUUGAGGAGCCGCCUGCCAUUCUUCUUCCUCCAUAGACCAAAUUAACCAUUUGCGAUGGAGAAGAUGGUACUGAUUAUUCUCUUGGAGACAUGUUGAUCUUUACUGAUAUGAUCCGAUAAUGGUAGCAGGAAGCUGCAGAGAAAUAAAGAUGCAGUCUUUACCUUUCUACUACUCCCUCAGAUCCAUAAUAAGUGAUGUGGUUUUAGUUAAAUAUUUAUUAGGGAUAAAGGUGUGGUAUUUGUGGUCUUGCCUUGAUUACAAGGUGUUCAAGAUUGAGGGAGAAGGUCUUGAUGCAUGGUCGUGUGACUUAGUGCCUGCUCACACGUGGGAGGUCAUAAGGAUGUGGGAAAUGUCAUUAUAUUUAGUUCAGAUGCCAAGGGAGAAGUCACUGGUCAUUGCCCAUGAUGAUGUGCAUGAGUUACCGCACAAACAUAUUGGACAAGGAGGGAUUGUGGACCGUCUAUGGAGAUCUGCGUCCUUUUCUCUUGUUGUUCUAUCUGGACUCCGCUGUGCUUAUACAUCAUAGAUUCUGAGCCUAAAUCAAUAAUCUGAGAUGGGCUCUCACUAAUGCUAACAUCAAUAUGCAUGCCCUGCAAGAAAAGUGGAUCGUCGUAACUGUUUAAGCGGAGUACUCCGAUACAUAGCCUCGCUCCCACGACCCAGGGACAUAUGGCAGAAAGUAGGAAGCCCACAAGUUGAUCUAAGAUGUUUCGGUGAUCGCUUUUGUUCAUAACAUGGUCGACAAUUUUGUUCAUAUGGAAGUUGAUGCUCACUUGGUGAUCCAAGACUGGUCGAUUCCUUAUUAUUUUGUAGUAGUCAAGUGAUCGAACAAUUGUUCUCUUAGGUGCUUGACCAUCAUAUUUUGCAACAAGACAUGUCAUGUAGUUUGACCUUUGUAUUUUCUCAGUGCUUGUAGCUAACUUGAGUUAUGACAACUAAUGAAUCUUCUAUAUGUGUUGAAUAAAUGUAUCGAUCAAUGGCAUUGUUGUGAUGAA